AUCCUUUUGUGAUUCAUAAGCCUGAUGAUUGGGUUUUCACGCUAUUGUGUGAGUUACGACCCCCUACCUCAAACCUUGUUAGGACUCCGCAUAUUACCCCUCUGUGG
rnacentral:snoRNA from 1 species